AGCUCAGUCGGAAGAGCACCAGACUCUUAAUCUGGCUGUCGCGGGUUCGAGCCCCGC
rnacentral:tRNA from 1 species